AUCACUCUCAUUAGGGUUUCAGAUGUCUCAUGACAUUCCUAUUCGCCUCCCUCUCUCUCUCGGCGAUUCAGAAACCCCUGCUUUCUCUUUCAAAUGAGAUCUAGGGUUUCUACAUGUGAUUCAAGAUCUGGCUAUCAUAGCUUUCUCUCUCAAACGAGAUCUAGGGUUUCUACAUGCGAUUCAAGAUCUGGCUUACACAGUUCGGUUCGACACUUCCAUGGAACCAAAAAAUCUGAGCCAAAUCAGGCCUCUGGAGCGUACAUCUUCCGUCCUAAUGGAAAGUUUCCAAUAAAACCUGCAGGACAGAAAGCUUUUCGAGUUAUAAAAGGUAAAGCCGAAAAGUGAAGCCGUGAAGGUGAGGCUGAGGGUGUAGAAGAUACCAUCCUUACUGAUCUACCUUUUUGUUUUGAUAUUUGUGUAGUUUAUGUUUAUACGCUGUUAAAUUUCAUGUGUUAUAAGUUGUUUUAAACAGUUUUGCUACUGUUUUUGGAUAUAUUUAUGUUAGAUCUGCGUAAAAUUUUCAGAUCUGUGUUGGUUCUGGGUUUUUAUAAUGUUUUGUGAACUGAUAAUGUGAAUGGAGUGAUAAAAUGAAGGUUAUCGCUUCAUUUGAUGGGUGAAUAGCUGAAGCAUGAUUGAGAAAACAGUAUGGAGCCCUUAUGUGGGUAUGUUUUCUCUGUUGUUUACAAGUGGUUUUCUGUAUUGUAGCUGAUGAGGCUGUAUGGAGCCCUUAUGUGGUCACUCGGUAAAGUCCUAAACACUCCUGAGGUUAUGCGUGUUUACAUCGGAAACUUGGUACAGUUUCUCUGGUUUUGCCAAGAAGGGACAGAUAUACUUGUUUAUAAUGGAACACUUAAAGAACAUCUUUAUGGACCUUUAGCGAGGGAACGCGGGAUUAAAUGGCUCAAGUGAUUGGAGAUUGCUGAAGACUCUGCCAAAGGAGGAGUUGAAUUGGCUGGAGAACUUCCAAACCGAACCAACGUUCAACCAGCCUUCCUAGCUUUCAACAUCGCUGCAGCCACCACUUCCAUACCGGGUGGCGGUUUUUGAACAAUUAGGUGGCGGAUCUGGUGCUCAAUCUGAAGUGGGGGUUUGUGGUUAUUACCUAGUUAAAAGUUGUUAUUUGGUCCGUGAUUCUUAUCAAUAUAUAGUGGAGAGUGUGUAAGCGGUUCUCACCUCAGGCACAUCCAUGGCUAACUGAUUUAGAACGAGAACUAAUCAUCAGGCUCUUGGACUGCCAGAAAGGGUCACUAGAAGCCAGCACCCACGCGGCACAAAACUAGAGACUAACGCUUCGGUUCGUAGUCCAAGUCCUCUUUUUCGAGCAGCUUCGGCUGCGUACAUCUGUAGCUGGCUGCUUAUACGUUUCUGACAAUCACAACUCACAGCCUCACCUGAGCAUGCUUUAAGAAGUAUAUUUGACUUGAAAGGGUCAAUUUAGGUCUAAAGUUUGGAGUUUAGGUAUAGGUCAAAUUCUAUUUGGUAAAGUUUGCACAACUUUGUUUGAUUCUUCGAGCUGGUACUCAAUUCAUUGUUGUGUAAUGUUUUGUCCAGCAUUUACGAGGUGUUUAAAAACUAUAUGAUGUAUUCUAUACCUGAUAAAAAUGUCAACAGCAUGCUUUGAAUUUGAUAAUUGACUUUCCAUUGUAUC